rnacentral:rRNA from 1 species
GGAUUGACACAUCGGUCGUGCCCUAAGGGGUAUGAACUGGUGUAGUCAGUUUCUCACCUUCUGGAGAACCGCGAUGUCCUUAAUUGGGUGCUGCGAGGAACCAGGACCUUUACUUUGAAAAAAUUAGAGUGUUUAAAGCAGGCAUUUUUGCUUGAAUACAUUAGCAUGGAAUAAUAAAAUAGGACGGAUGGUUCUAUUUUGUUGGUUUCUAGGAUCACCGUAAUGAUUAAUAGGGAUAGUUGGGC